GCCACCGUAGCUCAGUGGUAGAGCACUCCCUUGGUAAGGGAGAGGUCGUGGGUUCAAGUCCCACUGGUGGCU
rnacentral:tRNA from 1 species